AGCCGAGGGGGAAAAAGCGAAUCAACAAAAAUGGAAUGAGGCUUUGCCUUUCUAGAGCUUUCCCACAAAUUACAUUCAAAACAUGUUGCACGGCUCUAGGUUUAGAAAGCCAGAGCUGUGUGAACUGGAUGUGCUGAAUCCUACUGUGAAGGUGAACUCACAGAGCUCAGCCAGCCACGCUAUUUCUGACACAUUCGUCACUUCACUCAUUCCACUGUGAGCAGAUACAUCUUCUAGCCAUCCCAGUGAUUACCACUGCAGCAACAGGAAAUUCCUGGCCUCAUGCAAACAUCAAAAUCACUUGUGUAAUGGAAGACAUGCAUCUUGUAAUUGUCUACAAAUUUCCUGCACUGCUUGAAAUCACUGGUUUUCCUUUCAGCAUUAGGCUGUGCUACAACGCCCUGUUGGGGAAAUUUUGCCACAAUUUGAUCCUAAUACCUCAGAGGCAGAAGGUGUCAUACGAACAAUUGAUGGUUUUUGACUGCCAGGGCUCUGUUGCCCUACACGCAAAGGUAAUAUUUCUAUCAAGUUUAUGCCUAGAUUUUAUAUACACAUCUCAGAAAUUACUUGUUCUCUGUGAAAUUUGCAUAAUACCAUGCAGAGUCCAGCAGCUUCUCAAGCCCAAGAGGUCAUUAUGUUGGACUGAACAGACUGCUGUGCCAGUCCCUACUGCACCCAAACAGCAUCAUGCAGCACAGGCACACCCCAAGAGGGGCAUCCCAUCACUCUGCCGUUUCUGCCUUCCUCCUGCUUGUAAAGGCCUUGAGAUUUCCUCACCCUAUCUGCAACUAGCCUUGUUAAGUUCUUCACAGGAAAAUGGCACCAAGAGAGACAUUCUACCACCAAUUCUGCAAAUUAGCAAGUAAAAAUACUGCCUGGCAAACCACACUUUGUUUGUAUCUUUUACCAAUUAUACAUGUUUGAAUCACUUAUGGGAACGCUUCAUAACAUGCUGGUAAGCAUGCAACAGUAAGCUUUGUAAAAAUAAUCAAGAUUUGGUAAUAAGCCAAUUGGUACAGCCUCUGCUAUUCCUUGCUUUGAGGUAGGGAGAGACAGCCAAUCUGCAUGUGGAUAAACAAAGCUAUAGGCUAAACAGCAAUAUAAAGCAGCUGGAUUACAGGUCCUAGGAUAAAGAGGGAGGCAAACUUAGGCUGCUGUCUUGCUGAACAGCUGACCUGGAAGCAUUCCAUGCACUGGUCAUAUUACUGACCAGCCAGUUUCUGAACUGUUAAGCAGUUGCUCCAUUUUCCAUCACCCCAGAGGAUUGCCUAGCGACAAAUUACUGUGGUCCCCAGAGAAGGAAGCUGUGGUCUCCCAGAUGCACAAAUCAAACCACACUGAAUGGCUAAUACAACAAGGAUGGGAGCAGAUUUAUUAGUGGGGCAGCACUCACAAACCUACCAGCCAACACACAGACAGUAAUGCUGGUAAUCAAAAUAAGUUUGCAUGGGCUGAGAGAAUAUAUAGUAAAAAUUCAUUAAAAAUAUUAGCCAUCAAAAACUUGCUGUUAAGUAAGAUGUUAACCAUGGAUGUUAGGGUACUACUGACUAGGGGCUAGUCAUUCAUAUCAGUGGCAACUAAACUCCUCUAUUAAUCAAAUCUAGCAUUUUAAUUCCUGACAUUUAGUCUAAAUAUUGCCUUUUGUGUUGAAUGACCUAAAGCCAGGGAAUGUGCUAUUCAUAUCAGCCACCACCUCACAGGGCGUGUGAAACUGCAACACCUUUACUCACUAUGAAGACUAUAUUAGUGUGAAGACCCAGCUACUUUUCAACAUGAGGGAGAGCAAGCCUGCCUAUGUACAUGCUUUACAGACAAGAAGCCAGAGAGAGAAUAAAUAAAAGGACCUCCUCAGUGGGGCAUUUUCCUCGAUGUCCUCCAGAGUCUCCAGAGAAGAUCGCUGGGAGAUGAGCCGGCGUCUGCAGAGAAAGCAGAACACAAAACACCACUGCUGAUUAGAGGGCACAAGAAAGUCCUCAGAGCUGUUAUUCAGUAAACAAACCGCUCUUCACUAGCCAAGCCAUACCUCUGGAUAUUAAUAAAUUUUGUUCCGUUCUGCUUAUCUUAAUCUGUUUGAUUCCACCCAGAAGCAAACUUACUCCAUACAAGCUGCUACAGAAAAGCAGAAGUCACAGCUUUGCAACAGCUCCUCCUCAGUUUGUGCUCCCCUUCCUUCAAGGGUUUAACACCCAUCUAACACAGUCCCACAUGUGCUGCAGUACAGCUGGCAAUGCUACAAGUACAGAGCUUUGACAAAAUAAUGCAGACGUAGAUCCACAGAGACUGUCUGUCCUUCACACUGCCAUAGGAGACACUUCUCUGUGCCCCUUGCACCUUCUACCAAGCAAGUGCCACUUGUUUCUCCAUUAUGUCCAUCUCAG